rnacentral:lncRNA from 14 species
GGGGGAUCUGGAUGCAGCCAGCUCACUGUGAAAGCCUCGGCUUCCCCAGAGCAGCCCGGGCUUUGGAAGCGGGAAGUUGGGUUUUGCUGGUGUUUGACAGGUGGCAUGGCUCAAAGUCUGAAUAUUGCCACUUCCUUCCCCCAUCUUUUCUUAUUUCUUUAUUCUGACACAUUUUUAAGAGAACAAAGUGCAUCUCGGGUUCAGGCGUGUUGUCAGAAUUUGACCAGAUGAAUGAAAGAAUAAAAGUAACAGCUCUGACAGCCACGUUAGAAAGCACAAUUGCUCUUGUGCUGCUGGGGGCAAUUGACAGGAACGGUAUCAGUGGUGUGAAAAAGAAACGCUGUUUUCACGAAUGAUUAAUAUUGGAUGGAUUUAUUUUGGGUAGAGUGAGGAAGCAGUGCCCACUAGGAGUUUCCAACAAAUACUGGAGCCUUACCAAAAACUUAAUCCCGGUGAAGGAAAUGAGAUGAUCAAAUUGUGUUUCACCCCUUCAUCUCUACACACAAGCUAAGACCUGUGGGGUUUUGGGUUGGGUUUUUUUUUCAGUAAAGGCAUAAAAUACCUGAUAAACUGAUGUAAGAUAAUGAGGCAGCACUAUCAGAAUAAGGGACUACAUUGGCAUUCUCCCAGGCUCCAAAAAUAAAACAGUUUUGUUUGCUUUGAAAACUUGUUCCCUGGGCAGAGUGCUAUAAAUACAGAUUUUUCUUACUUUGGCAUCCACAGUAAUUGAAGAGCUGAAAAACUACAACCUGCAGUAAUUUGUUCUUGGGUUUCUCUUUAGAAAUAAUGGGGCUAAUUGUCAUUUUUUUCUUGCUUGCUUUUAUCGAGAUCCAGGUUGCUGAAGAGAAGAUUUCAGUUACUCAUUUGAAGCAGGAAUGGUAAAUCACACACCAAAAGAAAAAAACCUUCAGAGUUGUCUCUUGGCAUCUAAGGCACCAUCCUGCCAGCUGCCCUGUAGUCUGUAGCAUCUUGCAAGAAAGCCAGGAUGGGCACUACUCAAAUUGCUCCAAUACGAAAGAGGAAGAAAAGUAAGACCAGUAAGGCUAUCAUGAAUCAAGCUCAUGAAUUUGGGCACGAUUGCUUCUGGAGGGUGAAAGUCUAUAAGCAAUCAUCCUGCUCUGCUGCUACAACCUACUACAGGGUCUUCACGCGCACGCUCCCCGAGACAGCGGCCAAGGUAAUAUUUCAUAUCAUUGCAGUGCUGCAGCUUUCCCAAUAUACAGCAGUUUUUCUUCAGGGCCAGUGCUGGCAAGGAAGCAAUUAUAUGAAGAUCUUGGCUUUUACAUUUAAAAUCUCAAUUUUGCAGUUACAGAGAGAAGUUUGAAAACACAGCCACUGCCGAAGGUGAUUUCUGUCCGAGGUGGUUUAUUUUGGGGUUUUGCAAGUUGGGUUCUUUAAGGUCGUUUGUUUAGG